rnacentral:tRNA from 1 species
GGUUGUGGCUCAGAGGUAGAGCACUUGCCUAGCAUGUGUGAGGCACUGGGUUCCAUCCUCAGGACCA